UAUGUGCUGUGUUUAUGAUGCAUAAUUAAUGCAAAAUUCAUAGUAAAUUUAUAGUUUAUAUUCAGUCUCAUACAGUAAAUAAAUAGGAAAUGUGAAAUGUAAAGGUUAAAAUGAAUGUGAUGUAAUAGUUAGAUUUAAGUCCGUUGUGUUUUGUUUCUCUCGGAACUAAAGUUCUCUGUUUUGGUUUCCGCUGCUGCGGAAUUUGUCAAUGGACAAAAGGAAACCUAAGGUGUGCACGUUACGGCGCUCUGCUAAUUAAGUUGGAGUUUCACUGUUGUCGGAGGUCAAAACGAACUGUGAAGGAUUUUCCUAGGAUUUAAGAACCUCUUUUCAGGACAAGCAGCCAACGAGUUCUCACGGCGUGAUGUGGAUGCAUUAAGGACAGAAGAGCAAAGCAAUAAACGCCCGUUCCAAAGAA